UUUCGCCUGCAUCUAAUUUAUGUGGUUCUUUUUUUUCAUAUGUGGUGGACGUGUAAACAGGCAAGAUUGUUUUGGGGUGUGAUUUUAAAAGAAGUGAAAAAGAUUUUGAAAAUAACAUUUGAAAACAACCCUGAGGCAUUUCCGUUGG